GUUUCUUCGAAGACAUCUGAUAAAAUUGGAAUGAUAAAAAAAAUUAGUAUGGCUCCUGCACAGGAUGACACGUACAAUUCGAGAAAUAAUUUAAAUUUUU